rnacentral:rRNA from 1 species
UUUGAUCCUGGCUCAGGACGAACGCUGGCGGCGUGCUUAACACAUGCAAGUCGAACGGUGACGACCAGCUUGCUGGUCUGAUCAGUGGCGAACGGGUGAGUAACACGUGAGCAACCUGCCCCUGACUCUGGGAUAACGACCGGAAACGGUCGCUAAUACCGGAUAUGAGACGUACAGGCAUCUGUUGCGUCUGGAAAGUUUUUCGGUCAGGGAUGGGCUCGCGGCCUAUCAGCUUGUUGGUGGGGUAACGGCCUACCAAGGCGACGACGGGUAGCCGGCCUGAGAGGGCGACCGGCCACACUGGGACUGAGACACGGCCCAGACUCCUACGGGAGGCAGCAGUGGGGAAUAUUGCACAAUGGGCGCAAGCCUGAUGCAGCGACGCCGCGUGAGGGAUGACGGCCUUCGGGUUGUAAACCUCUUUCAGCAGGGAAGAAGCGCAAGUGACGGUACCUGCAGAAGAAGCGCCGGCUAACUACGUGCCAGCAGCCGCGGUAAUACGUAGGGCGCAAGCGUUGUCCGGAAUUAUUGGGCGUAAAGAGCUCGUAGGCGGUUUGUCGCGUCUGCUGUGAAAACCUUAGGCUCAACCUGGGGCUUGCAGUGGGUACGGGCAGACUAGAGUGCGGUAGGGGUGACUGGAAUUCCUGGUGUAGCGGUGGAAUGCGCAGAUAUCAGGAGGAACACCGAUGGCGAAGGCAGGUCACUGGGCCGCAACUGACGCUGAGGAGCGAAAGCAUGGGGAGCGAACAGGAUUAGAUACCCUGGUAGUCCAUGCCGUAAACGUUGGGCACUAGGUGUGGGGCUCAUUCCACGAGCUCUGUGCCGCAGCAAACGCAUUAAGUGCCCCGCCUGGGGAGUACGGCCGCAAGGCUAAAACUCAAAGAAAUUGACGGGGGCCCGCACAAGCGGCGGAGCAUGCGGAUUAAUUCGAUGCAACGCGAAGAACCUUACCAAGGCUUGACAUACACCGGAAAAGUGCAGAGAUGUGCUCCCCGUAAGGUCGGUGUACAGGUGGUGCAUGGUUGUCGUCAGCUCGUGUCGUGAGAUGUUGGGUUAAGUCCCGCAACGAGCGCAACCCUCGUCCCAUGUUGCCAGCGGGUUAUGCCGGGGACUCAUGGGAGACUGCCGGGGUCAACUCGGAGGAAGGUGGGGAUGACGUCAAAUCAUCAUGCCCCUUAUGUCUUGGGCUUCACGCAUGCUACAAUGGCCGGUACAAAGGGCUGCGAUACCGCGAGGUGGAGCGAAUCCCAAAAAGCCGGUCUCAGUUCGGAUUGGGGUCUGCAACUCGACCCCAUGAAGUCGGAGUCGC